GACGAUCUUCGUGGGAGCGUUCUGACAGGCUGACGCACCUGAAGCGGAUUUCUGAAAUCGGCUGCAGGAUUCUUAAGAAGCGGUGGAGCAGCCAUUCAUCGCUCGAUGGUCCCACUUGUUGAUUUUGGAUGCUCUGCCUGGACCCAGCUAGGAACCACGCCCACCCGAACACUGACACCGAUUGCCCACCGGACUAACGCUCUCGUCUGCCGCCUGAGCCCGCAACCUUCUCGGAGCCUUUGCACCAACGGAUCCUACCUCCUCCUCGGCAAUCCUCCAUCAGAUGAACUUACCUGAGCCGCCCAGCCGCUCCCGAUCCCAGAGGACAACUUAGGCUCAACAUAUUCAAUAAUAACUGUAAAUAAAUCUUUGAAUCAAAA